rnacentral:lncRNA from 1 species
CGAGAGGAUAAGAGCCGGCCAAGAGGCUCCCAGUCUCACUGUGCUGUUCAUAGUGGAAAGUGUGGAGCUGCCAGGAGAGAGGAGGGGUUGCAUCAUAUGGUGACAAAAGAAUGAAUCCCACCCAGAGGAAGCAGAGCCAAGAAAUGGAUCCCUGUUGUUUGAGUCCUGGAUCAAAUCGUGCCUGGAUCCCCAGUGAGCCAAUAAAUUUUCCUUAUUGCUUCAGCCUGUUUGAGAUGGUUUCAUUUCACUUGGAACAUUAAACUUUCUAAUUGAUGCACCCUAGUUAGAUUAUAAACUGUGUGGCAGCAGAGACUGUCUCUCUUGAUCACCGUUGUACUCCCUGGCACAUAGUAGGCAUUCAAUAAAUAAGUUUUGAAUGGAUACAUUUCAGCUGGAAGGAACACCUUCUGUAAACUCCCCUUUACUCAUUUGACAACUAAAGAACCUGUUGUCCUAUAAGAAAGUAGUGAUGUGGAUCUAGAAGCCAGGGUUUCAUCCCAACACAAGGCUUUUUCUAACCACCAGGAAGCCGCCUGGUAAAUAUGUUGGGGUCUUCGAGGAGGCCUCAAAAUAGCAGUCGCCUCCCCUUUUCUGCGAGUUUUGAAGUGAAUCAGAAGUAAGAUAGCAGUAAGCUAGAUGAGGACCGAAAAUAACCUUUAUUACUAAUAAGGCUGAUAUUAGAGAAUGUGGCUUACAUUCUCAGGCCAAUGAGCUUCCUGACACUUGGGCUCAAAAUCAUACGUGGACACUCAGCAAUAGGCAGCUGGGCCAGAAUGGGCCUCUCCUUUCCACCCUGCGGGAGGAGUGUUGACUCCCAAGAAGAAAGGAAGAGAAGAUGGUAUGAGGCAUAGUUUCUCCUUCCAAACUCAUCAGUCAUCUUAAACCACUCCUCCUUCCCAGGGAAGAAUGGGGGUGGGGGAGGGUGGUGAGAAGCCAGGAGUGUUAUGCUAAUUGGGCUCCUCUCACAAGAAAGAAAACAGCAAGAGCGGGAAGACAAGUCUUCCUAACACACGUCAAGUGCCAUUUGGUCAGGUCACUUGAUUCUGCUUUGUUUUCAACCAAAGUGGGUUGUUUUUCAAAGUGGUGGAAUUAGUUUGUUGCCUAAAAUAUCAUUCUCCGUGGAAUAACUCACACACUGCAGUCAUAUCAAGCCCCCAAAGGAGUCCGAGAUCCUCCUUUAAAAUCAAGCAAAAUUCAAAGAGAGAAACAAGAAUUCAAGAUCAAAUUACACAAUCAGGGGCUCUAGGUGGCAAUAAUCCUUGUGCUCGCUCACCAUGCCCAUCAAAGGCAUUUCAAGAGCACUGAAAUCUCGCACACUUCCCACGCCGACUGUCAGUUUCUUUCUCGCUGAUCUCAGAGCCACACGGUGCCUAUUAGUCACUGGGAGAACAGAGCCAAAGUUUAACUCCUUGGUGGUUCAGGGGAAAACGACACUUCAAAUUGGAUUCCAGGAAAUCCAGGGAAAUACUAGACAGGAAGUCGGUUACCAUGUUCCUAAUUUCCCCAAUGUCAAGGCUCGGAAUGGGAACAUUUUUCAAAACAAACAGUCAGUCCAGCAACGUGACCGUCUGCUGCAGGCUUUUGGUUUUACUCACCAGGCCACUUUUGCCUUCUUCAGUUUUUGCUUUUUUAAGGUAAACAUUUACCAUCCAGGCUUCAAGAGGCUUUCCCAGAAAACCAUUGUUUGUAAAUCUGAAGUUUGGUGGACAAAUGGAUUACCAGAUCAACUGAACGAUAACUCCCUAAUUUAGUCAACAGUACAUUUAAAAUUCAACGGGUUUUAGUGAAAACUGUGGUAUUGUUUGUUUAAUGUGACUCUGAGCAUAGUGAGAACCAGGAUCUCCUCUGGUCUGGCUGCCGAGACAAAGCUUUGAUCUCAUCCUGCGCAGCUCACUGGUGGACUUUUUGCUGGAGGUCACUAAGUAGGCUUUGCUGGCUGGUCCUGGGAGAGAACUCAAGUUAACAAUGGAAACCCACGACACAGCAGUUGGAGACAAUAUGUUCCCAUCCUCUGUUCUAAAUGCAAAGCUAUUUUCUCAUUAUUACCUGCCCCUAUUUUUACCAUCAGCAGCUCUCCAAUGCCACUUUAGCUAUCGAUAAUUGGCAGUGAGUUUUGCAAUUAACAGCUGCCCAGAAUCAAUUCCAAGGAGCUGCACUGAAACCAGUCUCAAAAAAGCAGAUCUGGGGAUUGCUCAGCUACUUAUCUGUCCUCCAGUCCUUUUCUUACCCCACAUGUCAUCUGCUGGAAGAAACUGAAACUUGAACCAUGUGCCUAAAUGCCCAUUUCUGAGUCUGUGGUGGAUAUUUGAGAAAUUCUCGGAUUGAUUGAUGAUGAUCGAUGUGUACCUAGAGGAAGGAGACGGGCAGUUCCAUGAAGAGUUGCUGUGUAAUUCAUAAUGAAGAGUGAUUUUCCUGCUGACUCCUAACUCCUUUCUAAUUUCAGACCAAAGACCCCAGGGAAAGAUUUGGGUAAGAAACUUGGCCUCAGAGAAAAGCCACUAAAGUCUGUUUGCUCCCCAGAGGAGAAGCAAUAGGGAAUUGCCAAGUGUGAUGGGCACGUCUCAGUCUUUGCUGAUUCAUCUUGCUCAUCAACUGUAUCAACGAGGGGCCCUCUCUGAGGCUGAACUUCCCACCUCACCCAGGCCAAUUGGAGACAUAACUCCAGGAUUUGGUUAGUUUCUCACAGCUUCCGCUCAUGAGUGGCCUGGAGGGAGCCAGUCCUCUCACCACGCCCUCGAAAUGACACUUUCUAAUACCGCAGACUGUGGGGGCUCCAAUCACUUGAGUGCAAGGAGGUACAUGUUUUUAGGGACAUUCUGUCAUCUGGGCAGCCUCAAAUGGUUGUUUUUUCUCUCAUUCCUCAGCUCCUGAUCUGGUGAGGUUGGGGCAAGAAACCCUCCAAGGGUGGCAACCUUGGAAGAAGUGCUUGCUAAUGCACGAGGGAGGGCAAGGGGGACAGCCAGCUGGAGUCCAGAGCUGCUCAAGCUCCUGAAACCCUCAGUGUGCUCAGGCAGAGAUUUAUGGGCCUGCCUUCUCCUCGUGAUUCCACACUGUGCUUCUUUGAAUCAGCCUCAGCAAAGCAGCCAUCAUGGGGCCUGGUGUUUACCGCAGAGACUGAGAUAACACAACCAUGGAGAUGCCACCCCUGUUUGUAUACUGACCCAGUGGUCAAGGAGUCAGCCCCUUGGCCCGAGGGCAACUUUGGUUCUGUUUCCUCUGUGCAAAACGCCAGAAUGCUUCUGCCUCAAAGAGGUCGACUCUGUUGUCAGCUGUGGGAAAAAACAGCCAGAGUUGCUAUUUACACCCUGAACUGCAAGCUGGGUAAAAAUAGCGCUAGCAGCUUGGUCCAGCUUCAAACCCCACUGCAGAAAGAGAUUAUUUUUGGAAGAGAAGAUUUUCCUCCCCACCCACAGAUCUGAAAAUGGUCACCUCCCGGGAGGAGAAGAGGAGAGGCAAUCCCAUGCAAAGGUGAAACAUACCCCCUUCUCCAUCCCCCUGCGCAGGACAGCACACCCAGAGCCAAACCAGCCAUGCCCUCCCCUGACAGCCAGGGCAGGGCCCAGCACAGACCUGCAGGGAACCUAGUUCAAAGCUUAGUGGGAAUUAAUUAACUUUGACUACAGCAAGAGGAGGCUGGAGUCUGAACCCGGAUGUGCCACCAUCCUGUUGACUGUUAUUGCUGUUAGGCUAUUUGUUUGCCUUUCAAAAAAAGGAAGAAAAAGGAAUUGACCACAAGAGCACGUAAAACCCAAAAACAAUGGCUUAGACUAUCUACUUCCUAAGGGCUUGGAAAUUACUCUCCAGCCCUCUCAGACUGGGUCAUAAUAUGGCUAUGAAAUGAUGAACAAACUCCCAUGAGCCUGGUCUGGUCCCACCUCUGUAUUUGCUGCUCCCUGACAGCCGGAGGCUGAAACUUGUCCCUCCUGUAUUUGCUAGAGCUGAGGACCUGGUGUUCGGGGUACGGCAUCUCUUUCAGGUUCAGGAAGUGGCCCAUAUGGCAAUCAGUGGAAGGAAAGUCACUUCUUUGUUUUCUGUGAAAAGGUAUUUCAUAGAUCCAUGUAGGUAAGUAGACUGUGACAAUUGUUUAACUCUGAAGACAUGUACACAUGAGGAUAGUUCUAGAAUAUGUGAAAAACAGCAGAGAAAAAUACCAGAUCAAUGCUGUCUUUAGAUUAUUCUAUAAAUUGAAAGUGCCCAGGCCACCCGGAGCUGAGCCCAAUAGGCACUUAAUGAAUAUUUUUAGGAAGGAUGGGAAAAAAUUCUCCCACACCCUAACUCCACCUCAACCUCCUUCUUCAGGGAUCCAGGAACCAAAACGAACCUUUCACUUUGAGAAAACUCACCUGGGCAUACCUACCCCACUGAGGGAAGGGGAGAAGAUUACACGUCACUCCCCCAACUUCUCAGCACCUCCUGGCAACACACACGCAGAC